AUAAAAAACAAAAUAUAGUCCCUGCGGAAACCCCCCGAACAUUCUUUCCCAUGCGUGGAAAGAAUAACCGUAUUAUAGUAGUAUUUGGAAUAUAAAUUAAAGGACCCUAUUCAAUUUAGGAUCUUGCAUGAAUUAGUAAUAUUAAACGAUUAAAAUACUAAGAAUUGGAUGUGGACUUUGGAAUAAGUUGAGAUGCGACAAUACCGAUGCCU